UACCAGCUCUCCGAGUGGUAGGGACGAUUAUUGGGCUUAAAGCGUCCGUAGCCGGCUCAGCAAGUCCUCCGUUAAAUCCAGCGAUUCAAUCGUUGGGCUGCGGGGGAUACUGUUGGGCUUGGGGACGAGAGAGGCCGACGGUAUUCUCGGAGUAGGGGUGAAAUCCUAUAAUUCCGGGAGGACCACCAGUGGCGAAGGCUGUCGGCUAGAACGAGCUCGACGGUGAGGGACGAAAGCUGGGGGAGCGAACCGGAUUAGAUACCCGGGUAGUCCCAGCUGUAAACGAUGCGGGCUAGGUGUUAGGGUGGCUACGUGCCACUCUAGUGCCGCAGCGAAGGCAUUAAGCCCGCCGCCUGGGGAGUACGGCCGCAAGGCUGAAACUUAAAGGAAUUGGCGGGGGAGCACCACAAGGCGUGAAGCGUGCGGUUUAAUUGGAGUCAACACCGGAAACCUUACCGGGGGCGACAGCAGGUUGAAGGCCAGAUUGACGAUCUUGCCAGACAAGCUGAGAGGAGGUGCAUGGCCGUCGCCAGUUCGUGCCGUGAGGUGUCCUGUUAAGUCAGGCAACGAUCGAGACCCACACUCCCUGUUGCUACUGAGGAAAGUUUCCAAGGGGCACUCUGGGAGGACAGCCGUCGACAAGACGGAGGAAGGAGUGGGCCACGGCAGGUCAGUAUGCCCCGAAUCCCCCGGGCCACACGCGUGCUGCAAUGGCCGGUACAGUGGGUGUCAACCUCGAGAGAGGACGGUAAUCCCGAAAACCGGUCGUAGCCUGGAUCGAGGGCUGCAACCCGCCCUCGUGAAACUGGAAUGCCUAGUAACCGCGUGUCACUAACGCGCGGUGAAUACGUCCCUGCUCCU
rnacentral:rRNA from 1 species